rnacentral:rRNA from 1 species
UGGGGCAUAUUGCGCAAUGGGGGAAACCCUGACGCAGCGACGCCGUGUGAGUGAUGAAGGUUUUCGGAUCGUAAAGCUCUGUCGGAUGGGACGAAUAAGAGUUGAGUAAAUAAUUCAAUUCGAUGACGGUACCGUCGAAGGAAGCACCGGCUAACUCCGUGCCAGCAGCCGCGGUAAUACGGAGGGUGCAAGCGUUGUUCGGAAUUACUGGGCGUAAAGCGCGUGCAGGCGGAUAUACAUGUCAGAUGUGAAAUCCCUUGGCUCAACUGAGGAAGUGCAUCUGAAACUGCAUAUCUUGAGUACGAUAGAGGAGAGUGGAAUUCCCAGUGUAGAGGUGAAAUUCAUAGAUAUUGGGAAGAACACCGGUGGCGAAGGCGGCUCUCUGGAUCGAUACUGACGCUGAUACGCGAAAGCGGGGGGAGCAAACAG